rnacentral:rRNA from 1 species
GAUGAACGCUGGCGGCGUGCCUAAUACAUGCAAGUCGAACGAAUCUUCUUCGGAAGAUGAGUGGCGAACGGGUGAGUAAUACAUAGGUAACCUGCCCCUGUGCGGGGGAUAACAGGAGGAAACUCCUGCUAAUACCGCAUAGCCAUGAGCACCGCAUGGAGCUCAUGCCAAAUAUCCUUUAUGGGAUAGCGCAGGGAUGGACCUAUGGCGCAUUAGCUUGUUGGCGGGGCAACGGCCCACCAAGGCAAAGGUGCGUAGACGGCCUGCGAGGGCGGACGGCCACAUUGGGACUGAGACACGGCCCAGUCUCCUACGGGAGGCAGCAGUAGGGAAUUUUCGGCAAUGGGGGAAACCCUAACCGAGCAACGCCGCGUGAGCGAAGAAGGCCUUCGGGUCGUAAAGCUCUGUUGUAAAGGAAGAACGGCGCAUACAGGAAAUGGUAUGCGAGUGACGGUACUUUACCAGAAAGCCACGGCUAACUACGUGCCAGCAGCCGCUGUAAUAC